UUGAAUUCUGGCAGUUGUAACUCGGCAUUCGUGUAACUAAGAUCGUCGCAUUUAUCGCGAUAUUAUUUCAAUAUAAAUAUUUUAUUAUACAUUGUUAUUUGUACUCAAUACGAAUUACUAAUAUCUCAUACACAUAUUAAUGAUGAUCGAAAUGAUUAUCUUGAUAAAUUUAAAGUGGAAACAAUCGAAGUUUCUAGAACACGAAAAAAUCACUCAAAGUAUUUCUUCCACGUAUAACCGACGCCAUAACACGACUCAAAAAUACUUGGACUGGUCUGUCAGUAGUCGAUAAAACGACAUAGAUAAGGACAAAGUGCUCUGACUAACCAUUUUUAGCACCGAACUCGAAACAAAGCCGAAGGACUGGGGAAUCAAGAGGCAGUGGUGGUCCCUCGAAUGGUUCAUGUACAGAGGUGAACGACACGAAGGAGAACGGGCUUCCCCAGGGUAAUUUUAGAAAUUCCUUGCACGUCAUGGCCCUGUCCUCCUUUGUGUUCGCAUUCAUGUGGAAUUGUAGUAGUCCUGCCGUGGAUUGCUUCUUUCAAGGUACUCGUUGUAGAUUUUACGAAGUUAAACGAUGAGAGAAGAUUGAAAAAUUGCCACUGACAGAAAUUUGAAUCUCUUUUAAAGAAUUUUAAAAAAAAAUGUAUGACACUGUCAAUGAAAUUAUUUUAUCGAAAAAAUAUCUUUAUAAAUACAAUAAAAAUGAAUUAAAAUGUGAAAAAUAAAUAAACUCGAAGCAUUAAACCCAUUUUCAACAAAUGUUAAUUUCGUCUGUAUCUGGCGAUCGUAUAAUUAAGUUUUCCCGAUUCAGAAUCACUACUCUUGCGAAACGAAUCUAGCCUCGAGGAUGUUUAAUCACCUACUUUUUGCUUAAGACGACCGAUUAACUCAGAUUUAUCGAUAUGUAAUUGCUACUUUUGAUGCAAUUCAUAACGAAAAUAAUCCUUAUAAAUAAUAGAUUAGAAUUUUUUGUUUUUGAGCAAUAAUCUACAAUUGUUUUAAUAAUUGCUAUUGAUGUUAUCUAUAAUCGUAUUUCAAAAGAAUUAUAUCGAAUUACGAAACGAAUUAUGAAAUUGCGUAACUAAUAAGAUUUUAUUUAGAAUAAAAUACUCUAAAUAUAGCUUGAUAUAACAUGUAAUAUAUCUUUAUUUAAACUAAAAAUAAAAUUAUAAAUGUUCUUUUUUAUAUAUGAAUAAAUAAAAUUUAAAUAAUGAAAUACUUAAAAA